UAUAUUUUAGGGUAAAAUGCACAAUAAUUUUGGAUAUUAUUAAAUAUAGUUUAAUUCUAUAAAAUAUAA
rnacentral:tRNA from 1 species